GAUGAACGCUGGCGGCGUGCUUAACACAUGCAAGUCGAGCGAACGGACGCGACGCUUGUUUCUCUGUCGUUAGCGGCGGACGGGUGAGUAACACGUGUAUAACCUACCUAUAAGACUGGGAUAACUUCGGGAAACCGGAUCUAAUACCGUAUAAUAUUCUGAACCGCAUGGGUCAUAAGUGAAAGUCGGCCUUGCUGUCUCUUAUCGCUGGUUCCGGGCUGGAUUAGGUGGUUGGUAAGGUAACGGCUUAUCAAGGCAACGAUGCAUUGCCGACCGGAGAGAGUGGUCGCCCACACUGGAGCUGAGACACGGUCCAGGCUCCUGCGAGAGGGAGCAGUAGGGAAUCUGCCGCAGUGGGCGAAAGCCUGACAGAGCAGCGCCGCGUGUGUUGUGGAGGUCUUCGGAUCGUAAAACUCUGUUAUUAGGGAAGAACAGAUGUGUAAGUAACCGUGCACAUCUUGACGGUACCUAAUCAGAAAGCCCCGGCUAACUACGUG
rnacentral:rRNA from 1 species